rnacentral:rRNA from 1 species
UGGGGGAUAUUGGACAAUGGGGGGAACCCUGAUCCAGCGACGCCGCGUGAGUGAAGAAGUAUUUCGGUAUGUAAAGCUCUAUCAGCAGGGAAGAAAAGAAUGACGGUACCUGAAUAAGAAGCCCCGGCUAACUACGUGCCAGCAGCCGCGGUAAUACGUAGGGGGCAAGCGUUAUCCGGAUUUACUGGGUGUAAAGGGAGCGCAGACGGCAAUGCAAGCCUGGAGUGAAAGGCGGGGGCCCAACCCCCGGACUGCUCUGGGAACUGUAUAGCUAGAGUGCAGGAGAGGCAAGUGGAAUUCCUA